rnacentral:lncRNA from 1 species
AUGUUAUAAUAUUUAUUUUCCUUUUCUAUAAGGUCUUGUUUGGAUAGAUAGUUAAAAAACUCCAUAAAAUUUUUAUUCUAUGGUUUUGGUCUAAAUAAAAUAUAGAAUCGUGUAACUACAAAAAAAUUCCACAGCUUCAUUUUUAAGUUGGUUGGAUACAUAUCAUAUAAUUCCACAGUAUUUAUAACAAUUAAAUUUCUAAAAUUUUAAAAUUCAAAAUUGAAAAUUCAAAAUUCAAAAUUUAAAAAUAAAAUUUUAAAAAUUAUAAUUCAAAAUUCAAAAUAUAAAAUUAAAAUUUAAAAUUUAAAAUUAAAAAAUUAAAUUAGAUUUUAUGUUUUAAAUUUGAAAUUUGGAAUUUGGAAUUUGAAAUUUAAAAUUUGAAAUUUGAAACUUUAAAUUUUGAAAUUUAAAGUAUACCAUUUAAACNGAAAUUUUAACUUUUUGAAAUUUGAAUUUGAAAUUUGAAAUUUGAAAUUUAAAAUUUGAAAUUUGAAAUUUGAAAGUUGAAAUUUGAAAUUUGAAGUUUGAAAUUUGAAAUUUGAAAUUUGAAAUUUUUGAAAUUUGAAAUUUAAAAUUUGAAAAUUGAAAAUUGAAAUUAAUUGAAAUUUAAAAUUUGAAAUUUGAAAUUUGAACUUUUUGAAAUUUGAAAUUUGAAAUUCAAAAUUCAAAAUUUGAAAUUUGAAAUUUGAAAUUUGAAUGUUGAAAUUUGGAAUCUGAAAUUUGAAAUUUGAAAUUUGAACUUUUUGAAAUUUGAAAUUUAAAAUCAAAAUUAAAAUUGAAUUUUAAAAUUUUAAAUUUUGAAAUUUAAAAUUUUAUGUUGAAAUUUAAAAUUUAGAAAUUGAUACAUCUUUGGGAGCCCAAAAUGGUGGAAUUUUUUUUCUUUGAUUAAAGUGAAUUGUAAGUUUACUCCAUUUUUUGAAGUAUAGUAUAACUAUACUCCAAAAAUUACGCCAUUUUUUUUUUUCUUCCAAACGCUUCAUAGAAUUAUUUUCCUACCGGCGUAGUAUAGUUUAACUAUGCUACGUUUUUAGAGAUAUCCAAACGGGGCCUAACAUGAUGUUAAAGCAAUGUGAAAGAUUGAUCGGUCGUUGUUAAGCGUUUAAACUAUUAAAAAAUGAUAUUUUAAAUA